rnacentral:rRNA from 1 species
UACGGAGGGGGCGAGCGUUAUUCGGAAUUAUUGGGCGUAAAGGGCGCGUAGGCGGCUUGGUAAGUCAAAGGUGAAAGCCCCCGGCUCAACCGGGGAGGGCGGCUGGAAACUGUGCUUCUUGAGGGCGAUAGAGGAGUGUGGAAUUCCUGGUGUAGCGGUGAAAUGCGUAGAGAUCAGGAGGAACACCCGUGGCGAAGGCGGCACUCUGGAUCGGCCCUGACGCUGAGGCGCGAAAGCGUGGGGAGCGAACGGG